rnacentral:lncRNA from 1 species
GCAUCUGAGGUUGUUAUUCCCAUCUUUUUCAAGUCAAGUUUUUUGUCUUGAGUCCCUUUUCCUUUAGAAUCUUCGCCUUCUUUAGAGUCUUAUCUCUUAUGGCUAGGACUUCUCCUUCUCGAGACGGUCGGUCGGAGAAUCCGACUGACGAAUCCCAGUCGGAUCCAGAGGUGGAGGUUUUUUCACUUUCGGAGUCGAAUGUUGAGCGGCUUCAGGAACAGUAUUGUAUCCCGGAGUAGUUUCAGCUUUUCACCCCUAAGACCGACGAUCAGUGAAUACCCCUCUUUCGGAUC